rnacentral:lncRNA from 1 species
GUGGAGCUGAAGUAUACCUCCUCACAGACUCUGAAGGGCCAGUCUCGUGAUCAGAUACAAACUGAAUAUUUGGAGAUGUUGCUCUGUGAUUACGAAGAGGUGAGGAUAGUCCUUCCUUCUCUGCUCUAUCCUCAGCUCUCUCUUCCAUACCUUUUGUCCAACCGCCAUCAGUCUUAGAAAAUUCCAUGCGAUGCAGUGUGUGG